rnacentral:rRNA from 1 species
GACGAACGCUGGCGGCGUGCUUAACACAUGCAAGUCGAACGAAGAGGCGCACGGGUGAGUAAUAUGUGGGUAACCUGCCCUCCUUUUGGGGAUAAGCCUUGGAAACGGGGUCUAAUACCGAAUAAAGGGGGAUGGGCUCGCGGCCUAUCAGCUUGUUGGGGGGGUGAUGGCCUGCCAAGGCGGUGCCGGGUAGCGGGCCUGGGCGGGUGACCGGCAACAUUGGGACUGAGAUACUGCCCAGAGUCGUACGGGGGGCAGCAGUGUGGGAUAUUGCACAAUGGGCGAUAGCCUGAUGCAGCGAGGCCGCGUGGGGGAUUAGGGCUUUCGGGUUGUAAACCUCUUUCGCUAUCGAACCGGUAGGUGGAGAAGAAGCGCCGGCUAACUACGUGCCAGCAGCCGCGGUAAUUC